rnacentral:rRNA from 1 species
GAUGAACGCUGGCGGCGUGCCUAAUACAUGCAAGUCGAGCGAACAGACGAGGAGCUUGCUCCUUUGACGUUAGCGGCGGACGGGUGAGUAACACGUAGGUAACCUACCUAUAAGACUGGGAUAACUUCGGGAAACCGGAGCUAAUACCGGAUAAUAUUUCGAACCGCAUGGUUCGAUAGUGAAAGAUGGCUUUGCUAUCACUUAUAGAUGGACCUGCGCCGUAUUAGCUAGUUGGUAAGGUAACGGCUUACCAAGGCAACGAUACGUAGCCGACCUGAGAGGGUGAUCGGCCACACUGGAACUGAGACACGGUCCAGACUCCUACGGGAGGCAGCAGUAGGGAAUCUUCCGCAAUGGGCGAAAGCCUGACGGAGCAACGUCGCGUGAGUGAUGAAGGUCUUCGGAUCGUAAAACUCUGUUAUUAGGGAAGAACAAACGUGUAAGUAACUGUGCACGUCUUGACGGUACCUAAUCAGAAAGCCACGGCUAACUACGUG